AGAGUUUGAUCCUGGCUCAGGACGAACGCUGGCGGCGUGCUUAACACAUGCAAGUCGAGGGGGAGUAGGGGCAACUCUACUUCACCGGCGAACGGGUGCGUAACACGUGAGCGACCUACCCUGGUGUGGGGGAUAGCCGGCCCAACGGCCGGGUAAUACCGCAUACGCUCUUUGAGGGGCAUCCCUUGGAGACCAAAGCCUUCGGGGUAACCCAAGGCGCAUUGGGAGGGGCUCGCGGCCUAUCAGCUAGUUGGCGAGGUAACGGCUCACCAAGGCGACGACGGGUAGCCGGCCUGAGAGGGUGACCGGCCACACUGGGACUGAGACACGGCCCAGACUCCUACGGGAGGCAGCAGUGGGGAAUAUUGCACAAUGGGCGAAAGCCUGAUGCAGCGACGCCGCGUGAGGGAUGACGGCCUUCGGGUUGUAAACCUCUUUCAGUAGGGAAGAAGCGAAAGUGACGGUACCUGCAGAAGAAGCGCCGGCUAACUACGUGCCAGCAGCCGCGGUAAUACGUAGGGCGCAAGCGUUAUCCGGAAUUAUUGGGCGUAAAGAGCUCGUAGGCGGUUUGUCGCGUCUGCUGUGAAAGACCGGGGCUCAACUCCGGUUCUGCAGUGGGUACGGGCAGACUAGAGUGAUGUAGGGGAGACUGGAAUUCCUGGUGUAGCGGUGAAAUGCGCAGAUAUCAGGAGGAACACCGAUGGCGAAGGCAGGUCUCUGGGCAUUAACUGACGCUGAGGAGCGAAGGCAUGGGGAGCGAACAGGAUUAGAUACCCUGGUAGUCCAUGCCGUAAACGUUGGGCACUAGGUGUGGGGGACAUUCCACGUUUUCCGCGCCGUAGCUAACGCAUUAAGUGCCCCGCCUGGGGAGUACGGCCGCAAGGCUAAAACUCAAAGGAAUUGACGGGGGCCCGCACAAGCGGCGGAGCAUGCGGAUUAAUUCGAUGCAACGCGAAGAACCUUACCAAGGCUUGACAUGGACCGGACCGCCACAGAAAUGUGGUUUCCCCUUUGGGGCUGGUUCACAGGUGGUGCAUGGUUGUCGUCAGCUCGUGUCGUGAGAUGUUGGGUUAAGUCCCGCAACGAGCGCAACCCUCGUUCUAUGUUGCCAGCACGUGAUGGUGGGGACUCAUAGGAGACUGCCGGGGUCAACUCGGAGGAAGGUGGGGACGACGUCAAAUCAUCAUGCCCCUUAUGUCUUGGGCUUCACGCAUGCUACAAUGGCCGGUACAAAGGGUUGCGAUACUGUGAGGUGGAGCUAAUCCCAAAAAGCCGGUCUCAGUUCGGAUUGGGGUCUGCAACUCGACCCCAUGAAGUCGGAGUCGCUAGUAAUCGCAGAUCAGCAACGCUGCGGUGAAUACGUUCCCGGGCCUUGUACACACCGCCCGUCAAGUCACGAAAGUUGGUAACACCCGAAGCCGGUGGCCUAACCCCUUGUGGGAGGGAGCUGUCGAAGGUGGGACUGGCGAUUGGGACUAAGUCGUAACAAGGUAACCGUAA
rnacentral:rRNA from 1 species